rnacentral:rRNA from 1 species
AGUGAACGCUGGCGGCGUGCCUAAUACAUGCAAGUCGAACGAUGAAGUCCUAGCUUGCUAGGAUGGAUUAGUGGCGCACGGGUGAGUAAUAUAUAGUUAAUCUGCCCUACACAGAGGAACAACAGUUGGAAACGACUGCUAAUAUCUCAUACUCCUAUUUGACAUAAUUUAAAUAGGGAAAGUUUUUUCGGUGUAGGAUGAGACUAUAUCGUAUCAGCUAGUUGGUAAGGCAAUGGCGUACCAAGGCUAUGACGCGUAACUGGUCUGAGAGGAUGAGCAGUCAAAUUGGAACUGAGACACGGGCCAAACUCAUACGGGAGGCAGCAGUAAGGAAUAUUACGCAAUGGGGGAAACCCUGAAGCAGCAACGCCGCGUGGAGGAUGACACUUUUCGGAGCGUAAACUCCUUUUAUCAGGAAAGAAUAAUGACGGUACCUGAUGAAUAAGCACCGGCUAACUCCGUG